UACGUAGGGCGCGAGCGUUGUUCGGAUUCAUUGGGCGUAAAGGGUGCGUAGGUGGCGUCGUAAGUCAGGUGUGAAAUCUCGGGGCUCAACCCCGAAACUGCACUUGAUACUGCGAUGCUCGAGUACUGGAGAGGAGAUUGGAAUUUACGGUGUAGCAGUGAAAUGCGUAGAUAUCGUAAGGAAGACCAGUGGCGAAGGCGAAUCUCUGGACAGUUACUGACACUGAGGCACGAAGGCCAGGGGAGCAAACGGG
rnacentral:rRNA from 1 species